UACGGAGGGUGCGAGCGUUGUUCGGAAUCACUGGGCGUAAAGCGUGCGCAGGCGGUUUUGUAAGCCAGAUGUGAAAUCCCCGGGCUUAACCUGGGAAUGGCAUUUGGGACUGCAAGGCUCGAGUGCGGCAGAGGAGACUGGAAUUCCUGGUGUAGCAGUGAAAUGCGUAGAUAUCAGGAGGAACACCGAUGGCGAAGGCAGGUCUCUGGGCUGACACUGACGCUCAUGCACGAAAGCGUGGGGAGCAAACAGG
rnacentral:rRNA from 1 species